ACUUAUGUUCCUGCGAAGCUCGAAUUUCGUUUUUCCCCAUCGCUUUCUCGUUCUUCUGUGUAUGGUGUGUGGGGGUCGCAUGAUUUCAGUUUGUUCUGUGUCCGGAUUGGAGACUCCACUAUACGAUUGGAGGUGAGUUCGUGAUUGGGCAAUUUUGCGCCGCUAUCCAUGUGCCCUGUUGAUUUUAUGCGCGUGGAAGCAUUUUCAUGUCAAUCAACAGCGUGCACGACCUCCAGCAGAUCCGGUCCAGAACGACGACGAGAGCCAUGGUCAUCGCGCAAUCGAUGUCCAGCUGCGCCACAAGGUUGAACAUGUCCUCGCCGAGCGUCAAAGGUGCCUCGUCGUGCGACGCAUCAGCCGGCCCGGCCUUCUUCCUCGUGAUCCUCGAGGCCUCCUGGGCGUUGCCGCGCCCUGCAGAUCUUGCAGCAUCCCCCCAGAAGCAUCCCUCGAUCCUGAAGCUGUGGACCUGGUGGCCGGGAGGACCAGGGUCUGUUGCCGGUGAGGUGUUGGCUGUGGGGGGUGCAGGCUAAGGACAUGUAUACUUAGGCUUCACGGUUGCUCUGCACGACCAAACAUUUCUUCAUUUUGAUGAGCUGCUGCCAUGCUCCCUUUGUCUGGCCUUCAGUUAGGGAUCCAGAGCACAUAACAUAUUUUCAUUGUAGCAUUCCCUUCCUUUGUGUGUCUGUCACUUUGUAGCAAUUCCAUUGGCGCAUUUUGUGUCUGAUUUUUACUGAACCAUUGUGUCCGUGCAGCGAUGGUGGUGUUCCUGUGUGUUAAUUGCAUUUGUUCAUCCGUGUGGGGACAGUUUAUUUUUGGGAUGUGUUUUAUAAAGCAUCCAUGAGGUUGUUUGAAGGGUUUCUGUUCGAACCUAGAUUGCUGAUGGUUGCAUUUCUGCUAACGAGGAGAGAUGAAACAACGAACUACGUUUAGCUUGUUGUUAUGUCCUCCUUAUGUUUUACUGUCUGAGAUGUCCUAGUUUUUUGUGUUUUUGCAAGGUCGAUUUUCUAAACCUUCGGAGCAUAAGCUCAAUGCAAACUACAAGUAAAGUGAAACAUCAUCACCUAGGAAACUACUAUGGCAUGCUAGUUUCUAGCUUCUCUUUUGAAUUUUUGAUAAGACGCUCUCUGAUCAGCAUCUCGAAUUGGCACCAUGGAAGUGAUGUUGUGUUGGCUGGGGGUUGUAUAAUUUGUUUUGUUUGUGUUUUUUCGGUGAGAACAACCAUACACAUUUUCUGAUGUUUUUUGAACUCACAAUGACAGAGCUGAUGAUGGUACUGAUAUUUCUGAUGUUGGGAAUAGUGAAGGAGAUAGCAUAUCCAGUGACAAUGAUCUGAGCUUUAAUUUAGAUGAUGUUUUAAUACUUUUUGAAAUCCAUUAAUUUUUAUCUCUUCUUUGUGCAGGCCUGGUAUUUUCUGUUGCAUGGCAAUGUUUGUAUGAGCCUUUUCCGAUGACCAUGCCAUCCAUAUCUCGACUACCCUUAUGUUUUGUUCAUAUAUGUGAAGCAUGAUAAUAUUUUCUUUUUUCCUUAUUUAUGAUGAUGUAUAUGUGUGGACCAAAUUAUUACAUAGAACCAAAGUUAUAAAAGGAAAAUUGGGUUAAAACAUUUAUAUCUGAAGCAUGACAUGUUUGAGCCUAUUUCUUUAUUAAUCAUUUUCAUUCUUUUUUUCAUCCGAGCCUUUUUUUUUUGUAAUUCUCAUUCUCAUUCUUCAUUGUUUAGUCUUCUUUUUCUUUAUUGUUAUUCACUAUCAUUCAUUGUUAGUCUCUUUCUUCACUUUUGAUUCACAUUUUGUCAUUCUUCUGUUCCCACUUUGGAUUUGAUUUUUAGUCUGUCAUUCUUCGUUUCUAUUUUUGUUAGGAUUGUCUCUCUUUUCAUUGCUGUUGCUCAUAUAGAUGUUAGUCACUUUCCAGUGGGCAGAAAGUUAGAGUUAAGUUUUGCGGUUCAGUCUUGAGUAUUUGAGUCUUAUUUAUUCAUCAUUCAUUGUUAGUCUCUUUCUUCGUUUUUGAUUCUCAUUUUGUCAUUCUUCGGUUCCCACUUUGGAUUUGAUUUUCAGUCUGUCAUUCUUCGUUUCUAUUUUUUGUUAGGAUUGUCUCUCUUUUCAUUAUUGCUCAUAUGGAUGUUAGUCACUUUCCAGUGGGCAGAAAGUUAGAGUUAAGUUUUGCAGUUCAGUCUUGCGUAUUUGAGUCUUAUUUAUUCAUCAUUCAUUGUUAGUCUCUUUCUUCGCUUUUGAUUCUCAUUUUGUCAUUCUUCAGUUCCCACUUUGGAUUUGAUUUUCAGUCUAUCAUUCUUCGUUUCUAAUUUUUGUUAGGAUUGUCUCUCUUUUCAUUGUUGCUCAUAUGGAUGUUAGUCACUUUCUAGUGGGCAGAAAGUUAGAGUUAAGUUUUGCAGUUUAGUCUUGAGUAUUUGAGUCUUAUUUAUUCAUCAUUCAUUGUUAGUCUCUUUCUUCUCUUUUGAUUCUCAUUUUGUCAUUCUUCGGUUCCCACUUUGGAUUUGAUUUUCAGUCUGUCAUUCUUCGUUUCUAAUUUUUGUUAGGAUCGUCUCUCUUUUCAUUGUUGCUCAUAUGGAUGUUAGUCACUUUCCCAGUGGACGGAAAGUAGUUAAGUUUUGCGGUUCAGUCUUGAGUUUUUGUGACUUCUUUAUUCAUUGUUUUCUGCCCACUGUUUUGAGUCAUUCUCUGUUUUGGUUUGCCCUGUCGCUCAUGUGAAUGUUCAGUCCUGAGUAUUUGAGUCUUAUUUAGUCUUCUUUUUUUAGAGUUAUUAUUUGUUCUUCUCAUUCGCCAGUCUUCUUUUUUCUUUAGUGUUAUUUUUACUUGAUUGGAUUAGUCUAGCGAUUUAGUUCUGAGUACUUGAGUCAUAUUCUUUCUCUAUAUUUUUUCAUUUUUGUUUUCACGGGUAAGGGGUGGGUAACUCCAUCUAUGCCAUUUUCUUGUUUAAGAGAUUCAUAACUUGGAUAGAUGGUUCCAAGCCCGGGAAAAGGAGGAGGAACCACACCUGUUUUUGGAUGUUUUAUUUGUUAUGUACGGAAGAGAGUACCUUUCACCUCUAUUUUGUUCAUAGUUGUUUUUACCACAGCAAACCUAUAUGUGUAGCACCAGAGUAUUAUUUGUUUUCUAUUAUUUCACAGCAAAAGAAAUAGUAACACACAAAUAGUAGUUUGAUAUUGCUUUUUGCAUAGCCGAGUCUUGGUCGGUUAUUAUUGUUUGUGGAUGUCUGAGUAUGUGUCUUUCUAAAAAAAGCAAGAGAUACUGUUAGUAUUUUUCUUUUUCUUUUUUCAUAUCCACAUUCAGUAAAAUUUUCACAUUCAUGCAUCUCACAUCUUUUUCUGCAGCAAAGGAUUGGGAAGUUCUCUAGCCAGUGUUUCUGAAAUUUUCUAUAUAAGCACUAGUGCAACGGUGUAGAUUGUGUCAAAUUUUCCUUCGAGGAGCCCCGUGAAGAUAUUUUCAUGUUGCAAAUUAAACAUUGCAAAAAGGGGCUGGGUGAAUCUUGCAAUGGGCGAGUACGACAACUUCCUCGAAGCAGAGUACUACAUGACUACUGAUGACAGGCUGCGGUUCAAGUCAAGCUGGAGAAGCUUUGUUCAGGAGUUUGGUCUGAAUGUUGGGGUCAUUGUGCUUAUUCUCUUCCGCAUGGAAUGGAGUGGCUACAUGAAGAUCUAUUUUGAUGUUUUAUAGCCUCCCAUUGCUUCUUGCUGGUUAUUUUGGGCAGGUCCCAAAUUACUUCUAUCUAUGUAUGGUCUAGUUCUGGGUGUUAGGUCUAAGAAAUAUGUGCCAAGGCUAUGUAUUGAACAACUGCUAUCUACCAUUUCCUAGGUGUUUAUGCUGUCAACACAAUGUUUAUUCAAGAGGUUUGAAGAAAAAUAUCAA